rnacentral:rRNA from 1 species
GCAGCCACUCAUUCAAAGAGUGCGUAAUAGCUCACUGGUCGAGUGAUCCUGCGCCGAAGAUUUCCGGGGCUAAAACUUACUACCGAAGCUACGGCAUCAGUAAUGAUGGGUAGGGGAGCUUCCCAUACGGGUUGAAGCAUGACCGUAAGGACAUGUGGACAGUAUGGGAGUGAGAAUGUUGGCAUGAGUAGCGAGAUGUGGGUGAGAAUCCCACAGGCCGUAAACCCAAGGUUUCCAGGGGAAGGUUCGUCCGCCCUGGGUUAGUCGGGACCUAAGCUGAGGCCGAAAGGCGUAGGUGAUGGACAACAGGUUGAUAUUCCUGUACUACCGAUAACCGUUUGAGAGAUGGGAUGACACAGUAGGAUAAGCUAAGCACACUGUUGGUUAUGUGUGCACAAGCAUGGAGGCAGGCAGAGUAG